rnacentral:rRNA from 1 species
AACUAGCAUAUCAAUAAGCGGGAGGAAAAGAAACCAACAGGGAUUGCCUCAGUAACGGCGAGUGAAGCGGCAACAGCUCAAAUUUGAAAUCUGGCCCCAGGCCCGAGUUGUAAUUUGCAGAGGAUGCUUUUGGCGCGGUGCCUUCCGAGUUCCCUGGAACGGGACGCCAUAGAGGGUGAGAGCCCCGUCUGGUUGGACACCAAGCCUCUGUAAAGCUCCUUCGACGAGUCGAGUAGUUUGGGAAUGCUGCUCAAAAUGGGAGGUAUAUGUCUUCUAAAGCUAAAUACCGGCCAGAGACCGAUAGCGCACAAGUAGAGUGAUCGAAAGAUGAAAAGCACUUUGAAAAGAGAGUUAAAUAGCACGUGAAAUUGUUAAAAGGGAAGCGUUUAUGACCAGACUUGGGCCGGUUAAUCAUCCAGCGUUCUCGCUGGUGCACUUUGCCGGUCCAGGCCAGCAUCAGUUCGUCGCGGGGGAUAAAGGCGUCGGGAAUGUGGCUCCUCGGAGUGUUAUAGCCCUUCGCGCAAUACCCUGCGGUGGACUGAGGUUCGCGCUCUGCAAGGAUGCUGGCGUAAUGGUCAUCAACGACCCGUCUUGAAACACGGACCAAGGAGUCGUCUUCGUAUGCGAGUGUUCGGGUGUAAAACCCCUACGCGUAAUGAAAGUGAACGCAGGUGAGAGCUUCGGCGCAUCAUCGACCGAUCCUGAUGUUCUCGGAUGGAUUUGAGUAAGAGCAUACGGGGCCGGACCCGAAAGAAGGUGAACUAUGCCUGUAUAGGGUGAAGCCAGAGGAAACUCUGGUGGAGGCUCGCAGCGGUUCUGACGUGCAAAUCGAUCGUCAAAUAUGGGCAUGGGGGCGAAAG